UUAAAUUUUGUUUUUAGUCUCUCAAAAUAGUUUCUUUCAAGAAAUAUUUUUUACUCUUCUAAUUUUCAGUUUUGAUUUAGGUAUUUUUUCUGCAAAAUUAAUACGAGUUUAUGAAGUCUGGUUUUGUCGGUUUUGCGAGGUCUUUUGUUCAGUUUAUGGGUUGCUUUCUUUAGUUAAUUUUUGCGCAGGUUAUGAAGUCGAUUCAACUAUGAAAUGCUGCUUUGCUACACAAUUGGUUAAACGGUCGUAUCAUUUACCGUUUCUUAGUCAGCAUCACCAACAACACCCCGUAGUUGGACAACUUCAUGAUGACGUAGAUUUCGGUAAACAUUGCUUAACAUUGUUUUUCUCCAUAUUGAUUUGGAUAUGUAAUGAGAAAAUCUGCAGGUAAAUAUUUCAUUGUUAUUUAAUUUCAAUGUUUCUUAAGAGUAACAUAUUGUGAAUUUGUGACAAUUGGUUUAUUUGUGUAGAUACUAUAAGCACCUUUUUAAGAAGCUAUGGGAACUGGGAAGGAUAUAAUUAACAUUUAUCAUUGUCUGUUGCCAUCAUUUAGAGGUGGAAAUCCAUAUAAACAUUUCUUUGAAAUAGCUUCUACAUAAUCACUUAUGUUAUAAGCAGUUAAUUGGUAGACAAAGUAUUCUAUUCUCUAUUUAUAUAUAAUAAUAAUUUUAAAAAAGAAAAUUUAUACUUUUUUUGUUGAUGUUAUUUAAUGUUUAAUAGAUUAGAACUAACAUAAUGAUGAGUUGGCUAAAUGUAGAAUGAAAGUUAAACAGACACUUCCCAUGGUCACUAUUAUAAAAGUGAAGAUGUUUGCAGGUUGAAGGAGAUACUAGAGCUGUGAAUUUGUUUGCAGGUUGAAGGAGAUGCUAAAAUAUUUAUUAAAUUUGGCAUUUUGUAGUAGGUUGCUCAAUGACUUUCUUUUGAUUUACUUCUUUUCUUUUUUCAUGUUCUCUUCACUGUUUUUUAAAUGUAUCAGAUUUGUUUUCUUCGCUACUUGCUUUCUAUUGCUCUUUGGUCAAAUUUUUAGAAGUAUUAGAUAGAUUAGUGAAGAAGUAUUAGAUAGAUUGGUGAAAAAGUAUUAGAUUUGUUGUAAUCCGUAUGUUAAUAGACAAUUAUGUAUUAUUUAGCAGGUAGAUAAAUAGACAGUUGUGCAAAUGGUUUGAAGAUGAUGCUCCGGGUUGUUCAAUUACAGUUUCUUCGCAUAAGUUAAGUAUAUGCAAACCACUGUAUUUAUCAUUAUUUUUUGAAAAAUGUAUUUAAAUAUCUUUAUCAUUAUGUUUCAGCACUGAAGGAAAGCGAUAUUGGGUACCUUGAAAUUAUUUUGCUCGAGUCCGUCCAUUUGAUGUACUUCUGAUUUUAGGACAUUAGAAUGUUUAUAGUUUUAGAUUAGAAAAUUAAAAAGUAGGAUUGUUAAGUAAAUACAGAACACCGGUUGACAGAAAUUAGCAUAUUUAUGGUUUCAUGUUUAUUAAACUAAAUCUUGACAAACAGGGUGUGACCAAAUUCAAGUUUUCACACUGCCUAGGGAUUACAAAGUUUAGAUAGACAAGUUGACUGAACACGAGACAUAUACAUUGUAGAAUAGAGAACCCCUGAACAAUGAUUUACCUUACAAAGUUUGUCAAAACCAACUAAAACUUCUCUUUACAAAUGCCACAACUGGUAUGCUAAGAGUGAGGUUAAGGACACACCACCUCGCUAAUUCAUCUUCAAACCUAUAACUGAUUUUCUUUGGGGAAGUUUUAUUGUUGACUAUGUAAAUGCUAAUACUAUAUUUUAUUCUUUAUUAAACUUUCAUUUUUUUCAUUGCAUGCACACAACUCCCAUCAUGCCCUUUUCUGUUCUAUUUUCCAUUAGAUGUUAUUCGAUGCUUGCAUGAGGUGGUCAAGACACAAACGACUGUGAAUGAGAAGAAAGCUUGUGCUAACUUAUUACUUAAAGAUGGGAGUAGAAACAAUUCUGUUACAAACCAACCACAAAUGGUUGUGCUAACUUUUCACUUUUGUAUAACAGCAUGUAAGAUUCAUGGUACAAUGUUAUGACAAUGAUGAUGCUUGAAUUUUGAA